rnacentral:rRNA from 1 species
GGAAGGCCCGAGCGUUAUCCGGAUUUAUUGGGUUUAAAGGGAGCGUAGGCGGGAGAUCAAGUCAGCUGUGAAACUGCGCCGCUCAACGGCGCCGAGCAGUUGAAACUGGUUUCCUUGAGUCCGCAAGAGGCGCGUGGAAUUCGUGGUGUAGCGGUGAAAUGCAUAGAUAUCACGAAGAACUCCGAUCGCGAAGGCAGCGCGCUGGGGCGUCACUGACGCUGAAGCUCGAAGGUGCGGGUAUCGAACAGGAUUAGAUACCCUGGUAGUCCGCACAGUAAACGAUGGAUGCCCGCGGUCUGUGAAAUGUCAUGGGCCGCCAAGCGAAAGCGUUAAGCAUCCCACCUGGGGAGU